rnacentral:rRNA from 1 species
CUGCUGCCUCCCGUAGGAGUUUGGGCCGUGUCUCAGUCCCAAUGUGGCCGUUCACCCUCUCAGGCCGGCUACUGAUCGUUGCCUUGGUAGGCCAUUACCCCACCAACUAGCUAAUCAGACGCGGAACCAUCGUAUACCACCAGAGUUUUUCACACCGCUUCAUGCGAAGCUGUGCGCUUAUGCGGUAUUAGCACCUAUUUCUAAGUGUUAUCCCCCAGUAUACGGCAGGUUUUCCACGCGUUACUCACCCGUCCG